GUCAGGAAGUCCGAGCAGUCUAAGGCGCCAGACUCAAGGACAUAUUCCUUGCUUCAAUAAGAGAAGUUGCAGUAUUCUGAUCUUCAAUAAGGCGUGGGUUCAAAUCCCACUCCUGACA
rnacentral:tRNA from 1 species